rnacentral:lncRNA from 1 species
UUAUAUGGUCAUCGGAUGAAUAUAGAGGUCAAUUCGAUAAAUGAUUAGAUGGCGUCUAGACUCAAAUACACACGAAACGAAGCUACGUAUUUUCAUGCCUGUGCCUUGUUUAUUGUUUUAUUUAGACUUUUGAUAGUUUGGAUAAAUGUUUUACAUCGUUAUAAAUCAAAUAUGAGAAUUUGAUUAGAAUCGGUGAACAUGAAUUUGACAGCUAGUGCCACUUUAAA